rnacentral:rRNA from 1 species
AGCGUACACGGUGGAUGCCCUGGCAGUCAGAGGCGAUGAAGGACGUGCUAAUCUGCGAUAAGCGUCGGUAAGGUGAUAUGAACCGUUAUAACCGGCGAUUUCCGAAUGGGGAAACCCAGUGUGAUUCGUCACACUAUCAUUAACUGAAUCCAUAGGUUAAUGAGGCGAACCGGGGGAACUGAAACAUCUAAGUACCCCGAGGAAAAGAAAUCAACCGAGAUUCCCCCAGUAGCGGCGAGCGAACGGGGAGGAGCCCAGAGCCUGAAUCAGUGUGUGUGUUAGUGGAAGCGUCUGGAAAGGCGCGCGAUACAGGGUGACAGCCCCGUACACAAAAAUGCACAUAUUGUGAGCUCGAUGAGUAGGGCGGGACACGUGGUAUCCUGUCUGAAUAUGGGGGGACCAUCCUCCAAGGCUAAAUACUCCUGACUGACCGAUAGUGAACCAGUACCGUGAGGGAAAGGCGAAAAGAACCCCGGCGAGGGGAGUGAAAAAGAACCUGAAACCGUGUACGUACAAGCAGUGGGAGCCUCUUAAUGGGGUGACUGCGUACCUUUUGUAUAAUGGGUCAGCGACUUAUAUUCUGUAGCAAGGUUAACCGAAUAGGGGAGCCGAAGGGAAACCGAGUCUUAACUGGGCGUUAAGUUGCAGGGUAUAGACCC